AAUAUUUAUGUUAUAUUAUAUUAUUAACCUCGGCUAUAGCCGUGUAUUAAUCCAACACUUACCUGAUUAUAAAUUGACUAUCUUUUUUUCCUGUAGACUUAAACAUCUGUCAUUCAUUAAUUUCGACUAGUGGAACUAGUUCGACUAGUUUUUUCGCCGUUUUUAUCACAUAAAAGAUACGGCACGUCAAUACAAACUAUUUGAUACCGAUACCACCAAUUUAUAAAAAAAGUGAAUUUUCGAUUUUUUCCCUGUACCCUUCAUAUGUGAAAUUAGGACACAACUGAUCAGACCCUAAAACAUAUCCCAAAAAGGGUUUAAUAAACAAUCUUGGGGGGGAGUUUUUCAGUUUUU